UGCAAUGAUGGUGUAAUUUGCGUCUUACCAUGUGUGCAGUGACAGUUGCCUGCUGUCCUUAUGCUGGCACAUAGGCUUGACGAUCACCAAGAUCUGAGCA